UGUAAACAUUGGGUUUAUUUAUUCACCCCCCCCCCCUCCUUUCAUUGUAUAUAUACAGUUUUCAUUUUUGUAGAGCUCAGAAUAUUUGCAUUUAUCACACAACGAUCUGUAUCGAGUUUACUUUGUUUUAAGUUUGCCAGUUAGAUUCAUUUAUUUAUUUUGUUAACAAGAUCUCUGUGUUUAAUAGCCUCACAGUUUGACAAUAUUCAUUUGUAAAUACAAAAAAUUGUACAAAUGUUGUUGGUAUGUUGUAGGCUUCUUGUUGAAUGAAAGAUUUUUAUUUGAAUAUUAAUAUUUGUUGGGAAACUUAAAUAAACAUGAUUUGAGUCAAGAGAAACCAUGCUCCAAGAAUGUUUAGAUAUCUAUUUGUUUGUAAUAACUAAGUCAAUCAAACCACUUUAUCAAUCAAACAGGUUAUGCUAAUCAAACCAAUCAUGUCUCGCAAUAAAUCUAGAUCUGUUUACAUACAUCAUUGUUUUCAAAAUAUUUUUUUUUCUUAAAAUCAUCAAUCUAAUUAAUAAUCUAAAAUAAUCUAAAAAAUAAUCUAAUGAUGUCUUGGCCUCAUUGGUUAGACUAUUGCGUGAGUGAAAACAUGUGAAUAAAUUGGUAUUAUAGUGAACACUUGAUUUAGAUCUAGUCUAGAUAUAUGCUUGGUCUUCCUUAUAAUGAACUAGUGAGAAUUAGCCAAUAAUUAUAUUUGUUAUUGCCCUUGCAUUACUGACUUAAUCAUACAUUUUAUUAAUUAUCUCCCUUGUAGUUCUGGCUUGGCCACCAAGUCUAUUAGUUUUUUUUCCCUUGUGAUGUAUGCUGAAACUUGUUAAGGAAAGAAGUUGUCAAUUGGAUAACUUGAUAUUGUUUUCUGUUGGGAUGAUUCAUGUCUUGAUGCCUCACAGUUAUAGGGGACAAGUCCUUGAGAUGGCCUAGAACUGACACGCCCUUUGACAUGGCUGAUAACUGGCAAAUCCCUAAGAUGUCUUAGAACUGACAAACCAUGACCUAAAGCUGACAAGUCACUGACAUAGCCUAAAAUUGAAAAGACAGGUUUUCUUAGCAUAAUUCUAGGAUUAGUUUGAAAUUUUAUCUUGCAUGUCUUCUUUUGAUAUCAGGAACAAUACCAUAUCUAUACCAAUACCAAAUCUUAACUUAUUCAAGGAGAUUGCAAGCUUCUCAUGAAUUGGAACAGUGAAACUCUAUUGCUGAUAUUCUGGCUAUUAUCUGAAUAUAUAGAUGUUCAACUCUACUCUAUUUUAAGAAAGCCUGAGUUGUCAACAGAAGUGCAAUGGCUGAGUGGUAAAGCGCUUGGUUUCCGAAUCCCCGGGUUUAAAUUCUGAUGAUGACUAAGAUUUUUUAUUUCAGGAUCUGAGUGCACCCAGCUCUAUAGUUUCCUGGCAUUAGUUGGGGAAAGGUAAAGUUGGUUGGUCAUUGUGCUGGCCACAUGACACCUUUGUUAACCAUGGAUCACAGAAACAGAUGACCCUUACAUCGUCUGCACUAUAGACCACAUUGUCUGAAAGGGGAAGUUUACUUCUGAGUUGUCAACACUGAACCUGUUAGACUGUCUUCCCAGAGUAUCAAGACUUGUUAGAGAAGGUUUAUAAUUAAUCAAACUCCAAAAAGAAUCAAAGUUUUGGCCUGUAAAUAGUUCAUUUUUACUGUACAUUAGUUGUUCAUCACGGCUAGAAUGAAAGUUUCAUUUUGACUUUUCCUAUCAUAGACUUCUGCUAGUUCACAAAUAUACAAAUCAAAGUAUUGUCUAAUAAUUUGUCAAGCCUUUUUUCUGAAGGUUAUUUACUUGAGAGUCUAAGCUUCCCGAGACCAAUUGUCAUCAAAGGCUUGAACACUGACCUGCAACGUCCCGAUGUGGCAACAAUCUAUUGGUCUAAACUGCCCACAGGUUGCACAGAGUUGCUGGUCAGUGUUCAAGCCUUCUAUAACGGAUGAUCUCGGUCUAACCAUUAUGUUGAUUUCAUUUCUCCUGCACAUUUUUUUGUUUAUAACACUGACAAAUUUUAUAUUUGUGCUUCAUUGUGUGUGUUUAUCGAAUUGUUAGCCAUUCCUUUCUUUAGCAGAAGUUGAUUUAUUCCCUUUGUAUUUAUGGCAGACGCUUAGACUUUGAUCAACUACGUUAUUGUCUCAUAAAUGUAUAUUUCUAUUUUAAUUUAAAUGUUAAUAUUUUAUGUUUUAUUUUUGGGUUUUGAUGAUGUAAAUAUUUCAUUUAUUUUUUCUAAGAAUCAAUACAUUGCUGUUGGUCAAAA